CAGUCGCCGCGGUAAAACGGAGGGUGCAGGCGUUAAUCGGAAUUACUGGGCGUAAAGCGCACGCAGGCGGUCUGACAAGUCAGAUGUGAAAUCCCCGGGCUUAACCUGGGAACUGCAUUUGAAACUGUCAGGCUGGAGUCUUGUAGAGGGGGGUGGAAUUCCAGGUGUAGCGGUGAAAUGCGUAGAGAUCUGGAGGAAUACCGGUGGCGAAGGCGGCCCCCUGGACAAAGACUGACGCUCAGGUGCGAAAGCGUGGGGAGCAAACAGGAUUAGAUACCCCUGUAGUCCCUGUCUCUUAUAU
rnacentral:rRNA from 1 species